UACGUAGGUGGCAAGCGUUGUCCGGAUUUACUGGGCGUAAAGAGCGCGCAGGCGGUCGAUCAAGUCGCGUGUGAAAGCCCCCGGCUCAACUGGGGAGGGUCACGCGAUACUGAUCGACUCGAAGGCAGGAGAGGGUAGUGGAAUUCCCGGUGUAGUGGUGAAAUGCGUAGAUAUCGGGAGGAACACCAGUGGCGAAGGCGACUACCUGGGCUGUUUCUUGACGCUGAGGCGCGAAAGCUAGGGGAGCAAACGGG
rnacentral:rRNA from 1 species